CCCUUAGAUGUUCUGGGCCGCACGCGCGCUACACUGAUGCAUUCAACGAGCCUAUCCUUGACCGACAGGUCCGGGUAAUCUUUGAAUCUGCAUCGUGACGGGGAUAGAUUAUUGCAAUUAUUAAUCUCCAACGAGGAAUUCCUAGUAAACGCAAGUCAUCAGCUUGCAUUGAUUACGUCCCUGCCCUUUGUACACACCGCCCGUCGCACCUACCGAUUGAAUGGUCCGGUGAAAUCUUGGGAUUUUGUUUUGUUUGCAUUUAUUUGUAUCGAGACGAGAGAACUUGAGUAAACCUUACCAUUUAGAGGAAGGUGAAGUCGUAACA
rnacentral:rRNA from 1 species